CCCAGCCGGGGCUCAAACCAGCAAUCUUCUUGCUGUGAGGUGAUGGUGCUGACCACUGUGUCACCAUGUCACUGGUCCAAAAUAAACUAUACUAAAGUGCUGUGGUGCUCAAGGGAAAUGGGAAGAGAAAUCUAAUCGUCUGUGUCGGCUAACCACUACGAUAUAUAUCGCCACACUGUAUUGAUUCAUAUCCUGCCACGCGCGUCUGUUUUUCUAAGGAACAAAUAAAGCGCAGAGGGAGCAAGUGAUCAAUUAGCCUCACAUUAUUCCUUUUGUCUGCCACAGCUGAGCAGUCUUAUCAACCUCAACCACACAACUUCCCCUCUGGCUGUCAUCCCGAACCUGCUCCCACAACCUGGCUUUGUCAGAACCACUGCUGCAGUCUGGCUUAACCGGGUGUGUGUGCGCGUGUGCUCAACUCCCAAGAGUUUACCAGACAAGGGUGUGUGUGUGUGUGUGUGGCAUUGACUCUCUCUGCGCUCGCACACACACACUCUGCCUCGCAGCUGCGUGUAUGACAGCGAGUGUGCAUGUGGACCACUGUCCUUCAGUCUGAGCGAGUGACUGUCCAGCUUAUGGAGGUGCACACUCUCUCUCCGUCUCUCCUCGCGUGUGUGUCCUGCAGAAACCCGACAGAACAACUGUGAAAAACUGACGUUCCUAACAGCCAUGUGCCCCACUGAAUGAGAUGAAAUCGCAUCUGUUGCUGUUUCUAAAGGUACUCUGAGAGUGUUUGCCUGGAGUUUCGGUGAGUACUGAUUCAUAGAUCUUUUUUUUUCUCUUCUGUUUCAUAAGUGCCACAAUACGCCGCUAACGUCUCAUCAAAUGUGCUAAGUGUUCCAAUCGCUUCAAAACUCAACAGGAGCCCACACAGUUUCUCCCUGUAGUGCUGGCCUGUUUUCAGAGCCAAACCAUCCUCAUUCAAGUCCGCUCCCGCUUCCCCUCUCUCUCCUCGAACAGCAAAAAAAAAAAUCCCUUUUUGUCUUUCACUCAAAGUGGAUUCUAAUCCGUUUAUUAGCCUGAAAGCUACUGGGAUGUGAAGACAAACCACAUGAUUCCUCUGCCCCUGCUCCAGUCUCCGUCCCCCCACCCCUCGGGAGGAGAGUCUCCCUUCAUACUAACAGCUAGCAUGAUUUAUAUUUCUGUCGGCUCUUGCUAUCUCCCCUAACACCCCG